AGUAUCACUAUGGUAACUGCCUAGCAACCAGAUGGGGUUACCCUAGCAACCGACUAACAAAUAACAUAUCUCUGCAUCACAAAAACGUAGAGACUUCCGGGUUGACUUAUUUCACUCAGGAUGGAAAGGAGCCAUGUAUUGUAUUACCUUGGUAACUGCAUAGCAACCACAUGGGCUUACCCUAGCAACCGAGUAACAAAUCACAUAUUUCUGCACCAGAAAAUCAUACAGACUUCUGGGUUGAUUUAUUCAUGACCAUAAUUUUUGCUCUUUUCAAGUUACAACAUGCUGUUUGACGAGUUUUGCCACGGCAAGCACCACUCACAUUUUCUUCAGGAAAUGUCCCCAUCUAGUAUUCUUUAUAGUUCUCUUUUUGACAAUCAAUAGUUUUCCUUUCUUUACAUGUCGGUUAAUGUAUAACAUGUUUAGUAGAACUGAUACAGGAUAUCAUUAGUAUACUCACUAAAUUUAGUAUAUGAACUAUUGAAUUAUAGUUACUCAAACUGCCAAUGGUCAAACAAUGAGGUGAGGUUUGUGUUUUGUUCCUGCUGUUCCCCUUUCCGUAUGUCACCCAGAUCAAUGACUUCAGGUCCUCAAUCAGUCCGAGCAGGGGGAGAUGUGGUGAACAUCAGUUAAGAUGGCAUUCCAGGGACCAGUUUAUGGCAGGGCCCCUCUCAACUGCCGGUGUGUAAGAAGAUGUGCCACAUUGUGAUUGGAUCCUUGGUGAAUGAAAAUAAACAAAUGUUCAGCAACAUCAGAUAAGAUAAGACAACUGCCAGACACCUCUUACAGGGCAGGAAGGGGGACUUCCUUCAGGAACGGCAUGCACCACCACCAAGGAGAGUACUUCUCAUUAGACUACAGGUUGACUUUAACUCAAACUCAUUCCUACGGUUUAGGCAAGAACUGCCAUAAAAAUUCCUUCAGGACCUCCCGGAUGCAGCAGCAGUGGAGGGCCAGAGAUCUAUUAAUACCUAUGUUUGGAUGCCUUAAAUUAAUAUAAACUGCAACACAUCCUCUCCAUCUUCAUGCAAAUCACAGUUUAUGUUAAUGAUUAUUGACUUAACACAACAGUUCAUGGGACAGACCUAUUAACAUAUAAACAAAUCCAUGGACGAUGACUUAACUAUGCUAUGCAAUUGAGUUCCACACUAGGGUGGGAAACACCGUGGCUACUUCAGACACCAGAGGACAAUCACACUCCAGGAACUGGAAGGCACCAGAUUUCAAUCUCAUCCUCAUCACAAAGGGAUAAAUAUUUUUCUGCAUUUCCAACUCGAUGAGGAAGGGGACACCAACAGACACACCAUGUCCUGAGUUUCUGACAUGACGAGGAAAGAGACUACACAAUAGUUGAAGUUAGGCUUUUGCGAGCAAAACCUUUUAUAUUUUUUUCAGCUGCACUCUAGCUGAAAAAGGGCCCCAGUAUUGAGGGACCUCAUCUGACACUUACGACCCUCCAUCAAUGCAGCCCAGUCCACAAAGGACCUCUGCAUCUGCAGACAUUGCCUGUCCCACAUGGCUCCUCAGUGACGCAGCCAGCCUGCAAAGGACCCUGUGAAGAUUCAACUGGCCCAGCUGCCCAGUCCACUCUUUAAGGAGUCUCUUGGUGCAACUGAAGUUCAGCAUCCUCUAGCCCAGCGUGGCAACGACUACUGGAUCGCAACUCUGCGCCCUUCCCACUGCAUGCUACCUGCAUCAUCUGAUUUAUUUCGUGAAAACAUGGCAGAAGGCAAUGACAGCACUCGGGAGAAUUUCCAACCUUCCAAGAAGACCAAACAGAAGUGUGGUCAUAUUUUGGAUUUUAUAAGAAUGCUGAGGAAAAAUUUGUAGAAGAUGGUAACUCUGUCUGCAGAGUUUGCCAGAGGAAAGUCGCUGCGAAACGGGGCAACGCAUCCAAUCUGGCGAGUCAUCUUUGUGACAACCAUCCAUCAAUUUAUAGUGCAUGCAAGCAUACAGUACUGUGGAGCGGAAGAGGGCAGGGCCGGGCUGGAAUGUCGCACGCCCGGUCCCCAAUCGGCCUGAUGGGGCACGCGAGGGAUAAAGGCGGCCGGUGAUGACGGUUCGAGAGAGAGAGAGAGAGAGAGAGAGAAUUACGGGCAUGUCCGUCAUGUGUGUGUUUAUGUUUGUGCUUUUUGUUUUGAGUUUAAUUAAACAUUAUUUAUAUUGACAAGCCGGUUCUCGCCUCCUCCUUGCCCAUCUGAAUCCCCUUACAUUGGUGCUGAAACCCGGGAAGGAGGAAGGAUGCCCGUCGCAGAGUCCUCGACACUGCCUUCCACCCGGGGAGCGCUGCUGCCAUCUGCCGAGUGACGGAGUAGCCCGACCGCCCGGACAUGGGGAACGGCCGUCGUCCGCGGGGUGAGUGGGGACUGGAUCCCCAACCACCUGGAGCGAUGGAGCCGCUGCCAGGGGCGGAGGAGUGCCCUGCCAACCCCCAGAAACGCGGAGGGUCGAGGGAAGACCGCCGUCCACGAGGGGAGGAGGGAAGUAACUCCCUGAUUUACUAGGAAUGUCCCCAUGUGCUGCCAGAAAAGCGGAGGGGCGUUCUGUCCACUGGGGGUCGGAGGUUUGACUCCGGUCCGCCUGGGGAGGAGCGGCUGUCGUCCGCCGAAGAGUGUGGAGGAGUGCUCGAGGACCACGCACAUCAGAGAACUGGUCGAGGAAGGUGGGGAUGACCUGAAGGGGCGCAAAGCAUGCCCCUCCCCAGGGAAAGGGGGGGGGGGGGUGUAUGUCAUGCCGGUGGCACCCCAACCUGAGGUAACGCUGGGAGGAGUGUGGAGCAGAGGGGGGGCCGGGCCGGGCUGGAAUGUCACACGCCCGGUCGCCAAUCGUCCUGAUGGGGCGCGCGAGGGAUAAAGAGAGAA